CGACGCAAUCAGUCAUCACUUCCAAGCGAGGAACGUAUACAGACAAGGACAAAGAAAGGGAUCAACAAAUGAAUAAGUACGUAUUACGGUUAACAAAUCGUAUAAGCCGAUUUCAUAAGUUGUAAACAAUUAUUAAAAUUAUUUGUUCUAUCACGAUCGAGAGACACUCUUAAGAUGAUAUCUCCAAAGAUGUGUAAUCGCAUACGUAGGGAAAAUUUUGAACGUUUCAACGAAACAAUUCAACGAACUCCGAAAAGUGGAACGCGACGGUCUAAUGAAAAAUAUUCUGGCUGACUGUUAUCAAUGAUGAAAGCACUUGUGUCAGACAACUUUGAAGCAACCCAGACCCAAACAGGCUGCGGACAGGAACCCUUAGGAAAAAUCUAUCCAGGACUAUCUUGCAAAUUACUUUAUUUCGCUAUUCCA